AUGUGACACAACCAUGGUGAUGAAAAGAAAUCAGCUGUGGUUGGUGGUGAUAGCAAAGUGUAAGCUUUCAUUGAUACAGAGGCUUACUCAUUUCUGCCUUUGGUUAUUGUGCUGCUUCUGCUUGCUGUAGCCUUCCUGUUUCAAUGAUGAGAAGGCCAAAGGAAUCUGUGAGCUGACCCAGAGCCCGCAUGUUGUUGACAAGCCACAGAGUUGCCCAACCUCUUUUAUUGUUAUUUUGAUUCAGGGAAUUCCUGAAGAUUCUGAAAUUGUGAACUGACAAGCCCAUGGAUGUCUACAAAGAGUGAACUGAUCACUGUGGGCUGGCCUUUGAGGCAUCAGUGAGCUCCAGUGCCUGGGACAAUGCCUGACACUUAGCAGACAGUCAGUGAAUGUGUUAUAUAAAUGAAUGAAUACUUGGAGCGUGAGAAUCAGAGCGGCAAAAAUAUUUGUCCAUAAUAUGCCUAAAGAUAAAAACGGAAGCCUCAGAACUAGAUAAGUGCAUUGUAAUUGAAUGCUGAAUUCACAGAGAUAACAUCUGAGAUUUAUUAAGCAUCAAGUCAUGUCUUAAAAAUUUUAUAUACAUUUUAGGAUUUAACUCUUAUAAAAAUCCUGUGGGUAAGUACUGUUGUCUCUCCCACUUUACAGGUAGAGAGGCUGAGGUUCAGAGAGAUUAGGUAACUCAACUAAGGUCAAAAAGUUGGUCAGGGAGCUGGGCCUUUAUAUAAAACACCAAAAUGAGCCCUUGUGUAGAACCCUUGAGAGAGAUUUUAAUCUAAUGGCUGCAAUUUUAAAUUGUGUUCAGUUGUGGUAUGUAGUUUUUCAAGGAAGAUGACCCACAGCCUUUCUUGCUUUCUGGCUUUGGAAAAGGUAGAGAUGACCACUUAAACAUUCAAGGAAAAUAAUCCCUGACUUUGAAAUCAGAAGAUCAUUCAGAUAAUAUACUUACUUAUAAUCAUCCUCUCUAAUGUCUGACUAAAGCAAGAGUAAAAGAUUGACUGAACAGCAACAAAUACUUUAACAGUUAAAAAUAAA
rnacentral:lncRNA from 1 species